rnacentral:lncRNA from 1 species
GCAGCAAUCAAGGUCUGGUCCAGCCAUUUAAACGGCGCCAAACAAAUAUACUACUGAAAAAGAAUUAAUAGUUACGAACUGAGAAGCCAAUUGGUAUAGUGAACAAUAACUUCCAAAAAAAAUUGUAAAAUAGAAUACCAGAUUCAAUCAUGUGAGUUGUACUGUAAAUGUAAUGGGGGCGGAUCAUAGUUUUAGACUCGACAACGUAGUUCCACCAAGUGCCUCUGCUGCUAAGGUGAACCGAAGAACAUCAUGGCAUUAUUAAGGGCAGUUUGAAGAUGUAGGAGAACCAAG